rnacentral:lncRNA from 1 species
AGGUCAGCCCUUCCUAUCUCGUAAUGACACCUGUGCACCUCCAUCCUUUUGAAAGGAGAGAGCCUAGUGAGCUGAUUCCAAGGUCAGGAGAGUGGAAGUUAAAAGAGCCUAAAGGGGACACUUUCCUGCCAUCAAUCCCAUGGCCGUGUGAGCAGAGCUUCCUGUCAGCCCGAGGUUUGACUGAAGUGGCUUUAAAGGUAACAGAGGCUCACGCACAUUCAUGGGAUGGAAGUCAGAGGCAGGAGGCAAAGGCAGGAAGCCAUCAGCCCUUUUAGCCACGAAGGAUCCACUCUAGGCAAUUGGAGAAAGAGCUCCAGAAUCCUGGACCUGCCAGAAGCAAUCUCUGCAUCCCACCAACCACGGCUCUAGGAGAGCACCAGGAUCAACUGCAAGGCAGGCUGGGGAACCUCCUUACACACUCACACUCACUGUCGGCAAGCCCACCCACACCCAUCCACACUCACCAACACAGUCUCACCUCCCACACACUCC